CGAGAAUUUUUCUCAAUGGACGAAAGUCUGAAGGAGCGACGCCGCGUGGGGGAUGAAGGGCUUCGGUCCGUAAACCCCUGUCAUUUGCGAACAAACCUUACUAUUUAACAGAUGGUGCGCUGAUUGUAGUGAAAGAGGAAGGGACGGCUAACUCUGUGCCAGCAGCCGCGGUAAUACAGAGGUCCCAAGCGUUGUUCGGAUUCACUGGGCGUAAAGGGUGCGUAGGCGGUGGAGUAAGUCUGGUGUGAAAACUCGGAGCUCAACUCCGAAAUGUCAUCGGAAACUACUUCACUUGAGGUUUGGAGGGGGGACUGGAAUUCUCGGUGUAGCAGUGAAAUGCGUAGAUAUCGAGAGGAACACCAGUGGCGAAGGCGAGUCCCUGGACAAAUCCUGACGCUGAGGCACGAAAGCUAGGGGAGCAAA
rnacentral:rRNA from 1 species